UAUACCUGUCAUUUUCUUAUCCGCCGAAAAGGAAAGGGACGGAUGAUUUACACACAACAAACAGCUUUGAUUAAUUUUAGGAAGAAUGAGUAAAUUAAUGAAUAAC